rnacentral:rRNA from 1 species
GACGAAGGGGGCUAGCGUUGUUCGGAAUUACUGGGCGUAAAGGGUGCGUAGGCGGUUGUUUAAGUCUGUUGUGAAAUCCCCGGGCUCAACCUGGGAAUGGCAAUGGAUACUGGGCAGCUAGAGUGUGUCAGAGGAUGGUGGAAUUCCCGGUGUAGCGGUGAAAUGCGUAGAGAUCGGGAGGAACAUCAGUGGCGAAGGCGGCCAUCUGGGACAACACUGACGCUGAAGCACGAAAGCGUGGGGAGCAAACAGG